rnacentral:rRNA from 1 species
GUGGGGAAUAUUGGACAAUGGGCGCAAGCUUGAUCCAGCAAUGCCGCGUGAGUGAUGAAGGCCUUAGGGUUGUAAAGCUCUUUUACCAGGGAUGAUAAUGACAGUACCUGGAGAAUAAGCUCCGGCUAACUCCGUGCCAGCAGCCGCGGUAAUACGGAGGGAGCUAGCGUUGUUCGGAAUUACUGGGCGUAAAGCGCACGUAGGCGGUUACUCAAGUCAGAGGUGAAAGCCCGGGGCUCAACCCCGGAACUGCCUUUGAAACUAGGUAACUAGAAUCUUGGAGAGGUCAGUGGAAUUCCGAGUGUAGAGGUGAAAUUCGUAGAUAUUCGGAAGAACACCAGUGGCGAAGGCGACUGACUGGACAAGUAUUGACGCUGAGGUGCGAAAGCGUGGGGAGCAAACAGGAUUAGAUACCCGAGUAGUCC